GCAGCAGUGGGGAAUCUUGCGCAAUGGGCGAAAGCCUGACGCAGCCAUGCCGCGUGAAUGAUGAAGGUCUUAGGAUUGUAAAAUUCUUUCACCGGGGACGAUAAUGACGGUACCCGGAGAAGAAGCCCCGGCUAACUUCGUGCCAGCAGCCGCGGUAAUACGAAGGGGGCUAGCGUUGCUCGGAAUUACUGGGCGUAAAGGGAGCGUAGGCGGACAUUUAAGUCAGGGGUGAAAUCCCGGGGCUCAACCUCGGAAUUGCCUUUGAUACUGGGUGUCUUGAGUAUGAGAGAGGUGUGUGGAACUCCGAGUGUAGAGGUGAAAUUCGUAGAUAUUCGGAAGAACACCAGUGGCGAAGGCGACACACUGGCUCAUUACUGACGCUGAGGCUCGAAAGCGUGGGGAGCAAACAGGAUUAGAUACCCUGGUAGUCCACGCCGUAAACGAUGAUUGCUAGUUGUCGGGAUGCAUGCAUUUCGGUGACGCAGCUAACGCAUAAGCAAUCCGC
rnacentral:rRNA from 1 species